rnacentral:rRNA from 1 species
GAUGAACGCUGGCGGCGUGCCUAAUACAUGCAAGUCGAGCGAACAGAUGAGGAGCUUGCUCCUCUGACGUUAGCGGCGGACGGGUGAGUAACACGUGGAUAACCUACCUAUAAGACUGGGAUAACUUCGGGAAACCGGAGCUAAUACCGGAUAAUAUAUUGAACCGCAUGGUUCAAUAGUGAAAGACGGUUUUGCUGUCACUUAUAGAUGGAUCCGCGCCGCAUUAGCUAGUUGGUAAGGUAACGGCUUACCAAGGCAACGAUGCGUAGCCGACCUGAGAGGGUGUACGGCCACACUGGAACUGAGACACGGUCCAGACUCCUACGGGAGGCAGCAGUAGGGAAUCUUCCGCAAUGGGCGAAAGCCUGACGGAGCAACGCCGCGUGAGUGAUGAAGGUCUUCGGAUCGUAAAACUCUGUUAUUAGGGAAGAACAAAUGUGUAAGUAACUAUGCACGUCUUGACGGUACCUAAUCAGAAAGCCACGGCUAACUACGUG